GACGAACGCUGGCGGCGUGCUUAACACAUGCAAGUCGAACGGAAAGGCCCUGCUUUUGUGGUGUGCUCGAGUGGCGAACGGGUGAGUAACACGUGAGUAACCUGCCCUUGACUUUGGGAUAACUUCAGGAAACUGGGGCUAAUACCGGAUAGGAGCUCCUGCUCCAUGGUGGGGGUUGGAAAGUUUCGGCGGUUGGGGAUGGACUCGCGGCUUAUCAGCUUGUUGGUGGGGUAGUGGCUUACCAAGGCUUUGACGGGUAGCCGGCCUGAGAGGGUGACCGGCCACAAUGGGACUGAGAUACGGCCCAGACUCCUACGGGAGGCAGCAGUGGGGGAUAUUGCACAAUGAGCGGAAGCCUGAUGCAGCAACGCCGCGUGCGGGAUGACGGCCUUCGGGUUGUAAACCGCUUUCGCCUGUGACGAAGCGUGAGUGACGGUAAUGGGUAAAGAAGCACCGGCUAACUACGUG
rnacentral:rRNA from 1 species